UACGGAGGGGGCUAGCGUUGUUCGGAAUUACUGGGCGUAAAGCGCACGUAGGCGGGUUCUUAAGUCAGGGGUGAAAUCCCGGAGCUCAACUCCGGAACUGCCUUUGAUACUGGGAAUCUUGAGUCCGGGAGAGGUGAGUGGAACUCCGAGUGUAGAGGUGAAAUUCGUAGAUAUUCGGAAGAACACCAGUGGCGAAGGCGGCUCACUGGCCCGGUACUGACGCUGAGGUGCGAAAGCGUGGGGAGCAAACAGG
rnacentral:rRNA from 1 species